CCCGCUGAACUUAAGCAUAUCACUAAGCGGAGGAAAAGAAACUAACAAGGAUUCCCCUAGUAACUGCGAGUGAACAGGGAUUAGCCCAACACCGAAGCCUGCGGUUAUUUGAUCGUAAGGCAAUGUGGUGUUUAGGGUGGCUUCAGGCAUUACUGCUCUGUCCCAAGUCCAGCAAUGAGUACGGCUUCCCAUUCUGGCCCAAAGAGGGUGAAAGGCCCGUGGGGGCAGAGAUCAAGUGUGACAGUUUUGCUCUGAGCUACCCUUGGAGUCGGGUUGUUUGUGAAUGCAGCCCAAAGUGGGUGGUAAACUCCAUCCAAGGCUAAAUACUUACACGAGUCCGAUAGCAAACAAGUACCGUGAGGGAAAGUUGAAAAGUACUUUGAAGAGAGAGUAAACAGUGCGUGAAACCGCUCAAAGGUAAACGGGUGGAGUUGAACUGCAAGCCCUGGGAAUUCAGCUGAUGAGUGUGAUUUGUACUUGGGCAUACUGGCCGCCUUCAGUGUCUGUUUAACCGCAGGUGCCUUCCUUUUUGGUGGGUAUGUGUGAAUCGUUUGCUUACGACGCGCGCACUGUUGGUGUGAGGGUCUGCUUGUCAGUGCACUUUCUCAGGGUGUUCACCACGACCGGCACUGUUGCCUGUCUGCUAUGGUCAAACUGAUCAGGUCUGAUUUCUGUCAGUCUUGGUUGGGUCGGUAGGUGGCUCUUUGGCUCAUUUAUGGGCCGUGAGUGUUACUAACUGGCUGUAGUGGAUCUGUGCGGUGUGUCGGAGAUGGCGGCUUCGCAUGCGUGCUUAGACCUUCGGGCAUUUCUGAGUCUGGUCAGUUUGUUACUGGCUUCGGCUGGUCGGCUGAUGGCUUGGUUUUGUCACGUCGGCGGUUGCGUGUGUCGUCUACAUAACGAAUCCAAAUUUUUGGUUUGAUCACUGGUAGAAUUGUGGUUUCUAGUCGUUGCAUUACUGCUUCCGCGAUGAGUCCUGAUAUUGGUGAUCCCAUUGGUGUCCCUUUUGUUUGUUUGUAGAUUUUGUUAUUGAAUUGGAAAUAUGUUGUUAGACAUAGAUCCAUGAGUUCAAGUAGGCUUUGACUUUGAAGUUUCGUGUAUUUCGCGAGGUUUUCGUCGUUGGUUAGGAGCAAGGACAGAGUUUCUUUUGCUAGGUUUGGUUCAAUUGAAGUGAAUAGUGCUGUUACAUCGAAGGAUAUCAUUAGUUCGUCGUCGUUGAUUUGAAUGUUCCUAAUCUGAUCAAGGAAUUGUGUGGCUGAUUUGAUGGAGUGGUUCGACGAAUCUACUAAAUGUUUCAGUAUUCUUGAGAUUUCUCUUGAUAAAUUGUACGUUGGUGUUCCUGGUAGUGCUACAAUUGGACGUAGUGGGAUGUUUGGUUUGUGUAUCUUUGGUCUGCCGUAGAACCGAGGGAGUACUGGUCCAUUAGAUUUCACUCUCCAUUGAUCUUGCUUCGUUAUUUCUCCUGCUUUGACGAGUUUGUUUAAAGUUUUUGAAAUGCGAUUGUCUAGUUUUUUGACUGGAUUUAUGUCCAUCGGUUUGUAUGUACUUUUGUCUUCGAGUAUUUCCUCGGCUUUCUUGAUGUAUUCUUACUUGUCCAUAAUCACCGUAGUGCGUCCUUUGUCUGCUGGAACGAUGACAAUAUCUUUUCAUGUUCUGAGUUUCUUCAAAGCUGUUUGUUCUUGUGACGUCAGUUGGUUGUUGCCCUUCAUCCGUUGAGUUAGUGGUAUUAUAGAUUGUCUUAUUUCCUGUUGCGUUUCCUCACUUAUUCCGGAAGUUUUGAGUGAUGACUCUAGUGCUGCGUAGAAUGCUAGUUUUGGGGCAUCGCUUGUUCUCAAACUUUAAAUGGGUGAGAAGCUUAACUCGCUUGAUUGGAGUUUUGCAUUGAAUGUGAGUGCCAAGUGAGCCGUUUUUGGUAAGCAGAACUGGCGCUGUUGGAUGAACCAAACGUUCGGUUAAGGUGCCUAACACGACGCUCAUGAGAUACCACAAAAGGUGUUGGUUGGUCUAGACAGCAGGACGGUGGCCAUGGAAGUCGGAAGCCGCUAAGGAGUGUGUAACAACUCACCUGCCGAAUCAACCAGCCCUGAAAAUGGAUGGCGCUCGAGCGUUGGACCUAUACCGGACCGUUGCUGUAAGCUAGGCCUAUGCUGUGUGAGGGCAAGCUGCACUUGGUCUAGGCAUGGAGUGACGGCAACGAGUAGGAGGGUCGCUGUGGCUAGCGGGAAGCCUCAGGCGUGAGCCUAGGUGAAGCAACCACAGGCGCAGAUCUUGGUGGUAGUAGCAAAUAUUCAAGUGAGAACCUUGAAGGCCGAGGUGGAGAAGGGUUCCAUGGGAACAGCAGUUGACCAUGGGUCAGGCGGUCCUAAGUGAUCCGGUAAAUCGGAACAGAGACGGGGUGCCUGACAUUGUCCGUUCGCGGGCUUUGUUCAGUAAUCUGCAAAGUACUGUUGCAUUGCAGCCCCCUGUAGCGAAAGGGAAUCGGGUUAAUAUUCCCGACCCUGUCCACGGAGAUUGGUGUGUGUCGGGCCUUUGGUUCGGCGUGCGCCCAGCGCGGUAACGCAACCGACCUCGGAGACGUCGGCGAGAGUUCUGGGAAGAGUUCUCUUUUCUUUGUUAGGAGUGCAUCCACCCCCUGGAAUCGGCUUGUCUGGAGAUAGGGGGCUAGCCUCCGUAAAGCACCACCCUUCUUGUGGUGUUCGGAACGCUCUUGUCGGCCCUUGAAAAUCCGAGCGAGGCAGUAUAAUUUUCGUGGCAGGCCGUACCCAUGUCCGCAGCAGAUCUCCAAGGUGAACAGCCUCUGGCA
rfam:Schistosoma mansoni, Puerto Rico, WGS project CABG01000000 data, contig: 0332